UCUGAGACGCGCAGAGACAGAGAGACAGGAAGUAGAGUGUGCGUGCGGUGUAUAACACUUGGCUGACAUCGAAAAAAGUCCGCGUAAAGUUUGCGCAAACAAAUACGAGUUGACGUGUGAAGAUUAUCUACUCAACAGUCUUCACCAGGGUAUCCCCUCCACAUAUGGCUCUUCGGUGUUUCUAUCCGACGUUCAUCAUACCGUUGUUCAGGUGUUCGUAUUUAGCUUCAGGUGUGCGUGUGUUAGCUCAUUAGCAUACGCCGUUUAUUUUAUUAGCAUUCAUUAGCAUAGCGAGUGGACACUUAGCCGCCGCAUAGCUUACCGAGCUGGCGUUGACGGCUUUAUAGUGCAUGUGUUUUCGACGUGGACACCUUGAGGAUUUAAAGAGACUGUGCCGGAGCUGUCCAGCUAACGGGUCAGCGCUCCUCCUCCUUCUGCUUCGCGGGAGAGACCUCGCCAUCUCUGGACAUCCGGUCCGCCGACGCCACCUAGAACUUCGCUCGCGGGAGACCGACAGACCGGUGACGUCAUCUGUUGACAGACACCUGCCGGCCACGUGUUCCUCGACUCAGAACCGAGCUAAGCCGUCCGUGGCUCCACUUCAGGGAAGGAGCCGGCGUGGAUGUUAAAUGAGACGAGGUGGCCCAGGACCUUCGGGCCAAGUUGGCGGACAUUCCCGUCACUGAUGGAUCCGCCGUGCAAUCAAACAUCUAGACGGUGGAGAGAGGAAGGGGUUGACAUGCGCCAAACGACCCGGACUGGACUCAAGCCCCUGACCAGAAAAGCAAGGCUUAUUCUAUCAGGUCGCGGGCGGCUGGAGCCAGCUGACAUUGGGCGAGAGAUGAUUUGCACCCUGGGCCGGUCGCCAGCGCAGCGCAGCGAUGAAUUCCCGGACCACCCGUCAGCCAGACUGAAGCUGACAGAGGAAGAGGGAGGAAGAAAGAAAGAAAGACAGACAGACAGACAGAAGGAAAAAGAGACGAUUCUGUUGUUACACACCUUGUUAAGCUUGCUUGAAGGAUGCAGGGACUCCAGCCCGGGCCAGACCUGAAGGUCACCAGAAGGUCAACAAAUACAACAGUCACCGGAGGUCACAUGUCACAGUAUGUGUGACAGGGCGCGGCUGGGCAGAAUAAGAAUGGCUCAGCAAUAAGCAUCGAGAUGGAGUUGUAAAACACACUGACAGUGUGGCUCUGGGGAGCGACUUGCUUCCCUGCGUAUGACGACUGUCUCUGUGGCAGGGAAAGAAUGCGACGAUUCUUAGCCCGUGUGUGUGUGUGUGUGUGUGGGUCCCAUGAUGAGGAGUGUCUAAUUAGGACCAGGAGGAAGCGCAGAAGGAGGUGCAGGGUCAGUCCAAAAGGAGAGAGCAGAUCGAUCAGGAUGGAAACCCCACAGCCCCCACCCCACCACUGCUGCCGCCGCCACCGUGCCCGUCACCUGCCCCAGAUAACACACCAGACCAGGAGCAGACCGCUGCCCGACCGCAGGACUGAUAGGAAUCAGGCCAUUUGCUGGAACUGCUGCAAAGUUUCUCAUGUGGGUCCACAAAAACAAAUCCAAGCAGCACCUCCGACCAAAAAACAACAACAACAAAAUAGAGGAAGAAGAGCCGCUGAUCAUCAUGAUUUCAUAAAUAUCACAACACAUGAACGUAGAACAGAAUUUUGAAUUAACUUUUUAUCAUUUCUGCCCUCGCGUACCCCUCACCAGCUAAUCCGGGAAGGUAUCAUGAAUGUAUGAUUCAUGUAGCAUGUAAGUGUGAGAGAGUAACUCAAAUAACUCUGGUGUUUUAAAAGUGAGCACAUUUCCCUUCUGCUUUGCUUUGUUUCAUCUCCCCCUCCUUUUCCACGUCUCAACUCUCACAGCUUCGAGUUCUUUUCCCUGCUUUUGCACUUUUUCCUCAUCUUUCCUCGGUCUUUGCCUUCACCAUCUCCUCAUCAUCUUUCUGCUCUUCCUGCUUCUUUCUUUCUCCUUUAAAUCUCUUUAACGCCUUCACUUCCCUCACUCCCGUUCCCCUCUCUUCUGAUGCUUUGCUCUUCCUCCUUCUCCCGUCGUAACACUUCUUCCCCUUGUUUUCCCACACCUCUCCUCUUCCUUACACCCCCUCUUCCCCAUUUCUCCUCAUCUUCUCCCCUCUCCUUUCACCCCCGUCUGUCCUUCCUUUCUUCCUGCUCUUCUCACACCUCGCGACCUUCUGCCAUUUUUCUUUUCCCCUCAUUUCCUCUCCCUCGCCGGAGAAUCAAUUUCUGCCCCAGGCACAGCCGAAGCCCUCUUCACUGCCUCACGCACACACACCCGCGCACGCGCGCGCGCACACACACACACAAACACACACACACACACACACAUCCCCUCGUUGUGGUCAGGCGACUGGGGCUGACCUUUUCACUGAUUCCCGUUAUUAGAGAAACUGACAUUCAAACCUCCCCAGCCCUCAGGACACUGAGACCACUCCUGAAUCACGCACACAUUCAAACACUCGUACACACACACACACACACACACACACACACACACACACACACACACACACACACACACACAGACAGACACAAACACACACACACAAAGCUUUCGCCGCGCUUUUUCUUUUUGUCCCAGCAUCCACUCUUAUAUCUCUCAAAAUUAAUCCAUUCACCCAACAAGUGAAAGAAGUUACUAAAAAGACGCUCAACGCGUUGAGCUGGAGGAGGAUUUCCCUCAAUCUGGCAACCCAAAGCUUCUUCUUUUUAAUGGCAUCUAUAAAUCAAUAGUGAAUGAAUCAUUAGUGAACCUUUUUCGUCUGAUUGUGAAACAUCAGCGUGAAAAUAAACACUAUGAAGAUUUAUGAUCUUGUACUGUUUUACAUCAGAUAUAUCAGUGGGGAAAACAACUCAACCCUUUCAAACUCUAAAUUACUGUUACUGAAAUAUCAACACACGUUAACAGUGGAAAAUGUGCUGCCUGCUUGUGCUCGGCUUUCAGGCUGAUUACAGUCAGGGUUGGGUUUUGAGAUGGAACCUUCACAUCACACACACACGCACAAUGUUACAAUGUGUUUUUUCGACAUUUGCAAUUUAAAGUACGUAAUAUGCAAACUUCAUUAUGUACCGCAUAUAUAAAGCACUAUAUUGUGGCAUAUUAGUGUAGAGUUAUGCAACUUUUUCAAAAGGGAAACUGUAGGGGAAUUUUUAAAUUUAAAAAAUCCCCUGUGAUGAUGUUUUUAGCUUAGAGACAAGUCAUAUCAAAGAGCCAAAAUAAACUUCAAUUUGGGGUUAGCAAAGAAAAGGUUGCAAAAAAUAUUGUAUCCACAUCCACUGUUGUCAGAAUAUUUCCUGCUUCAAUCCAGUUUUUUCAUCUGUCUCUUGCGGGUCUAAAAAUAUAAAGUGCCAAACUAAAAGAAA